rnacentral:rRNA from 1 species
CGUAGGUGGCAAGCGUUGUCCGGAAUUAUUGGGCGUAAAGCGCGCGCAGGCGGUCUUUUGAGUCUGAUGUGAAAGCCCCCGGCUCAACCGGGGAGGGUCAUUGGAAACUGGAGGACUUGAGUGCAGAAGAGAAGAGCGGAAUUCCACGUGUAGCGGUGAAAUGCGUAGAGAUGUGGAGGAACACCAGUGGCGAAGGCGGCUCUUUGGUCUGUAACUGACGCUGAGGCGCGAAAGCGUGGGGAGCAAACAGGAUUAGAUACCCUGGUAGUCCACGCCGUAAACGAUGAGUGCUAAGUGUUAGAGGGUUUCCGCCCUUUAGUGCUGCAGCUAACGCAUUGAGCACUCCGCCUGGGGAGUACGGCCGCAAGGCUG